AAUAUGCAAUAACACAUCUGGUAGUUCUGGCUGGUCCCAGAGAUCUUCCUGCCUCAGCCUUCCUGGUACUGGGAUUACAGGCUUCCACUCCACACCCGGUUUACCAAUCAGGAGUGAUCCUGGAAACACUGCAGACAAGAGGGAGAAGGCAAAGCACCGGCCGCCCGCGGCCUCCAGGAAAAGGCUGUGGCGAAGAUCAGCAGUCAUCGCAGGGCCAAGCAGAAGAGUGGGGGUGGCGAGCCCACCCGGAGAGGGUGCCUGACUUAGCAAUGGACCUGAGCACCCAAGACUGGGGCACUUAGAUUGCACCCAUUAACACCCUUCCAUUUUGCAGUCCUAGGUUGGAUGAAACCCAGGGUCUCUUUACCAGUGAGCCAUCGCCCCAGCUCCGCACACGCAAGUGUGUGUGUGUGUGUGUGUGUGUGUGUGUGUGUGUGUGUGUGUGUUCAGGCUGGCCUUGAACUCACGGUGGAGCCCAGGCUAGCCUCUAACUCAUGCUGAUCCUCCUGUGCCAGCCUCCAACUCAUGCUGGGAUGACAGGCAGGUACCCUGAGGCCCAGCCGGUCAUUUGCUUACAGGGUAGUCAUGUUGUUAGCCCCGGAGACUGCAGGGCCAGGCUGCUCCACCUCUCUGUGGUCCCAUGGCGUGAAGUCCUGGUCCUGUCACAGCCACAAGCUCGCCCUGGGCCUUCCCAGUCCAAGCAGUGCACGUGCAGGUGACAGCCCCUGUGGCCCUUCGCCUGUCAGGUGUCCAGGCUCCCCCUGCUCAGCCACCGGCAUGACAGGCUCUACGCACUGUGGAGCACCGGCCUGUGGUGCAGGAAUCUAGCUGCUCCUGAACCACAGCCCCACUGCUGGCUCAGGGCCUCGGGUGGGUCCACCCAGGACCUGCAGUGGCUCGGCCAGGCAGAGCUCGGGAAGCCGGGAAGGCUGCUGGCAGCCCUGUGGCACAGGAUGCCCACCACAGCCUCUGGUUCCAAGCUACCAUUACUCUCUGAUGUGCCCCUUGGGUAGGUAGGAUGCGUGGCACAGCAACCUUUUGUUUUUUGAGACAAGGUCUCAUUGGGUAGUUUAGGCUGGCUUUGAACUCACUGUGUAGCCCAGGCUGGUCUUGAACUUUAGGCAAUCCUCCUGUCUCAACCUUCUGAGUGCUGGGAUCACAGGUAUAUGCCACCACAGCCAGCUAUCAGCAACCCUUUUUUUUUUUUGUACUGGGGAUUGAACUUGGGUGUUUGCACUUGCAAGGCAGGCAGUGGAACCAAAAGAAUUUGUGGAGUGAUUUUUUUUCUCUUUUUGGUACCAGGGAUCGAACUCGGGCCCUUGCGCUUGCGCAGCAGGCAGUGAAACCACUGAGCUAAAUCCCUGGCCCUCAGCAAC
rnacentral:lncRNA from 1 species